UUAUCGCUCUGAAAUGUGGAAAAUCAAGGACGUCAAUGUUAGGAGCUACCAUAAGCUGAACAUCAAUUUCGAAUGGCGAUAACAACAACGUAGAUUGACAAAAAAAAAAAAAAAAACUCUCAACAUGCGGGUGAAAUGUAAUGAUAUAAAAUUGAAAAAAAAAUUACGGAGCAAAAAUUUGAACGACGAAUGGGAUUCAAUGUGACGCGCGUGCAAUGCUAGUCUGUUGAAAUUGUAGACGAAAUGUCGAUUCAUAUACAAGCAUUACAUAUGGGGUUCCACGUUCGAGCACGGGUCCGCGGUGCUGCACCCACGUCUCUAAGGUCAAAGGUUAUAAUUAAACAUCCUGACUCACGGUCAAUUUUGUCUACGUGUGCCGACUAUAGGUUUCUUCGUAUAUUCAAAGAUGGAGGAUCUAAAUGUACGCUCUGACGUCAUUUUUUCCAUUCUUAUUAAUUUACUCGACUCGGCGACGAGCUGCGUAGAAUUCCAAUCACAGGAAUGUCUGACAAGUCUCAAGGCGCUUGUGGAGAUAAUUUCACUCGAAAAGCCGUAAGUCAUUUUCGAAAUUCUGCGAUUAUCUGCGAGCGCUGUGAGCGCCGGGGGAGAGUAAUUUUGCGGUAUGAAUGCCUUUUACCCUCAAACUCUUUAUGUUGAAGUUUGAAGACCCUGCGAGUGACAAAAGAAGGCAUAACUUUGUUUGGUAAACUUAAACAAGUAUGAUAAUACCCUCUAUAACAAUAUCUCCACCCGCAUUUCGGUCUUCGUUCACUCUACAGAGGUAUGAUGUCGGGGGCGUAAAAUAUCCCGUACAACGAUUGUCUGAAUGCAGAAGGAGAAAGAGAGAGGAAUGCAUAAGAGGGAUGAGGAAGAAGUAAGGAGAAGGAAAGGGAGAGGGAGAGGAAAGCCUGAGUGACUCACUUGCCAUAAAACAGAACUUGCUUGCACCCCUCGGUGUUUCAAGGAUUAGGGUUGCCCCGAUUCUCCUUCAUGCUGCCGCUGCGCACCCUAGCUCGACGACUUUUCUUUCCUUACAUGCACUUUACAGCUAGCCGACUUCUCACAAAAAGUUCCGUCACUUGCCGUAAGCAUACCCGUUUACCGUUAUUUCACAUCACACGUGCAAUCCACCAAUUACGCACUUUAAAAGUGUUAUCUACGUUGUUAUGUCGUUGCGAUACUUAACGUUAUGUUACAAGCCCUUGUACGCCUCGCGCGUAAAAUAUUUCGAAGAAAUGUCCACCGGCGGAAUUUCUCCCAUGUAUAACAUCGACAAAAAUAUAGAGACAACGGAGUUUGAUAUUGGCAUUUCGCGUUUCCCGGCGAGUUUAAUCUGACAACGGAAAUGGACAGGCGGUAUACGUCAACCGGUAAAACCUUUCAAACUCACCCCGUGACAGAGGGAUUCUCUCCUCGUAUAGACAUAUACUCGAUUUAUAAGUCUCCGCGUGUAACGCGGGUCCCUUACUCGGAGUUUAUUUUUAGGCUGAUAUCGAUGAUUUACAACCCCCGUGCAUCGGCGAUCCGUUACACUAUUCGAAAAAGCAGGCUAUAAUAUGGAAGAAGUACUACCGGUCCACCUGUACGAAAAAUUCUCUGCGAAAGCAGCGGCGGCGUUUAACCUUCAAAGAGCUCGAUACAUCGAGUCGAGAGUGCGCAGCUAUGAGGAGAAAGUCGAAGGAGAAGGAUAUAAAGUACAGGGCAAUGCGGCGAGGCACUCGACAAUGUUCGUUUAUUCGUCCCUUCGACGUGCAUAGGAAGGCCCUUCUUGCCCCCCUUGCAGCACAAGGUCCUUUGGUUAGACUCUUUUGGCGUUUGAUGUUAAUUACGAACCGUGGCGAAGUCAGUUCUCGAGAGCCGUUAAACAAUCAUCCAGGACUGCUUCAACGUUCAAGGACCGGUUUCCCUACUCCCAGGGUUAUAUUAUAUUUGGUA